rnacentral:rRNA from 1 species
AUACGUAGGUGGCAAGCGUUGUCCGGAAUUAUUGGGCGUAAAGCGCAUGUAGGCGGUGCCUUAAGUCUGUCGUGAAACUGCGGGGCCUAACCCCGUAUGGCGAUGGAAACUGUGGCACUUGAGUGCAGGAGAGGAAAGGGGAACUCCCAGUGUAGCGGUGAAAUGCGUAGAUAUUGGGAAGAACACCGGUGGCGAAGGCGCCUUGCUGGACUGUGUCUGACGCUGAGAUGCGAAAGCCAGGGUAGCGAACGGGAUUAGAUACCCCGGUAGUCCUGGCCGUAAACGAUGGGUACUAGGUGUGGGAGGUAUCGACCCCUUCCGUGCCGGAGUUAACGCAAUAAGUACCCCGCCUGGGGAGUACGGCCGCAAGGCUUAAACUUAAAGGAAUUGACGGGG